rnacentral:rRNA from 1 species
AACGAACGCUGGCGGCAGGCUUAACACAUGCAAGUCGAGCGAGACCUUCGGGUCUAGCGGCGGACGGGUGAGUAACGCGUGGGAACGUGCCCUUCUCUACGGAAUAGCCCCGGGAAACUGGGAGUAAUACCGUAUACGCCCUUUGGGGGAAAGAUUUAUCGGAGAAGGAUCGGCCCGCGUUGGAUUAGGUAGUUGGUGGGGUAAUGGCCCACCAAGCCGACGAUCCAUAGCUGGUUUGAGAGAAUGAUCAGCCACACUGGGACUGAGACACGGCCCAGACUCCUACGGGAGGCAGCAGUGGGGAAUCUUAGACAAUGGGGGCAACCCUGAUCUAGCCAUGCCGCGUGAGUGAUGAAGGCCUUAGGGUUGUAAAGCUCUUUCAGCUGGGAAGAUAAUGACGGUACCAGCAGAAGAAGCCCCGGCUAACUCCGUG